CCGAAUCCCUGUCCAGGUGCCUCUGGAAUACGGGGGGUCCAAGCGUUAUCCUGAAGCAUUGGGUUUAAAGGGUCCGUAUGCGGUCUUAUAAGUCAGGGGUGAAAGCCCAUCGCUCAACGAUUGAACUUCCAUUGAUACUUUAAGACUUGAAUUCUUAGGAAGUAACUAGAAUAUUUAGUGUAGCGGUGAAAUGCUUAGAUAUUACAUGGAAUACCAAUUGCGAAGGCAGGUUACUACUAAGUGAUUGACGCUGAUGGACGAAAGCGUGGGGAGCGAACAGGAUUAGAUACCCGAGUAGUC
rnacentral:rRNA from 1 species